rnacentral:rRNA from 1 species
AACGAACGCUGGCGGCAGGCUUAACACAUGCAAGUCGAACGGUUGUAGCAAUACAGCAGUGGCGCACGGGUGAGUAACGCGUGGGAAUAUACCGAGAAGUGGGGAAUAACUCCGGGAAACUGGAGAUAAUACCGCAUACGCCCGAGAGGGGAAAGAUUUAUCGCUUUUCGAUUAGCCCGCGUGAGAUUAGGUAGUUGGUGGGGUAAUGGCCUACCAAGCCGACGAUCUCAAGCUGGUCUGAGAGGAUGAUCAGCCACACUGGAACUGAGACACGGUCCAGACUCCUACGGGAGGCAGCAGUGGGGAAUAUUGGACAAUGGGCGAAAGCCUGAUCCAGCCAUGCCGCGUGAAUGAUGAAGGCCUUAGGGUUGUAAAGUUCUUUCGCCGAUGAAGAUAAUGACGGUAGUCGGAGAAGAAGCCCCGGCUAACUUCGUGCCAGCAGCCGCGGUAA